rnacentral:rRNA from 1 species
CCCUUAGAUGUUCUGGGCCGCACGCGCGCUACACUGAUGCAUUCAACGAGUCUAAAACCUGCUCUGAUAGGGGUGGGUAAUCUUUUGAAUGUGCAUCGUGAUUGGGAUAGAUGAUUGCAAUUUUUCAUCUUCAACGAGGAAUGCCUAGUAAAAGCAAGUCAUCAGCUUGCAUUGAUUACGUCCCUGCCCUUUGUACACACCGCCCGUCGCUCCUACCGAUUGAAUGAUCCGAUGAAUAUCAUGGAUUGAGGAUGCAAGUAGGUUAGCCUAUCUUCAUCUUCGAGAAGUGAAGUAAAUCUUAUCAUUUAGAGGAAGGAGAAGUCGUAACA